GCGGACGUGGCGGAAUUGGCAGACGCGCUGGUCUUAGGAGCCAGUACUCUGGUGUGCGGGUUCAAAUCCCGCCGUCCGCACCA
rnacentral:tRNA from 1 species